GAUGAACGCUGGCGGUAUGCUUAACACAUGCAAGUCGAACGGACUCUUCGGAGUUAGUGGCGGACGGGUGAGUAACGCGUGGGAAUCUGGCUUUGGGUUCGGGACAACCACUGGAAACGGUGGCUAAUACCGGAUGUGCCGAGAGGUAAAAGAGAAAUUGCCUGAAGAUGAGCUCGCGUCUGAUUAGCUAGUUGGUGAGGUAAAGGCUCACCAAGGCAGCGAUCAGUAGCUGGUCUGAGAGGAUGACCAGCCACAACGGGACUGAGACACGGCCCAGACUCCUACGGGAGGCAGCAGUGGGGAAUUUUCCGCAAUGGGCGAGAGCAUGACGGAGCAAUACCGCGUGAGGGAAGAAGGCUCUUGGGUUGUAAACCUCUUUUCUUAGGGAAGAACAAAAUGACGGUACCUAAGGAAUCAGCAUCGGCUAACUCCGUG
rnacentral:rRNA from 1 species